GAGAGAGAGACAUACGUCACAUAGGGUCCGGAGAAGUAGCCUCUAAACAAAAUGUCUGUCUCAAUUCCAUACAAAACCAAAUGAGUUCCAAGGGCGGAUAUGAACAUGUAUCGCCGGUCAAUAUUCAUCUGAAUGUAGUAGAACUCCCUGCAAGAAACAGCACAUAGAAUGCCACCAUCUUGUCUCAUCUUCACCCUGUACAUAAGACAUUCAUCUGUGAUCUCAUCUCCUGACAACAGAAGGGUCUGCAAUUACCUAAGGCCUAAGGAAGUGUUACAAUGCAUGGGACAAUUUCAUUUGGUGCAAGGAAAACUUUCAUUGGUUUAAACAAAAUUGUAGUAUGAAAGGAGACUUUUCAUUUGUUUGGAAACACCCACUGCAAGAGAGAUUUUGAUUGGAUGGAAAUUGUAAGACAAUUUUGUUUUGUAAGGGUGCGUUCGAUUGGUUAGAUAUUUGUAUAUGUAUGUUAUCCAGUAGUCUUUUCUCUGUUAUAUGUUGGUUUUUUGUUUUUUAAUUUAUUCUGUAUUCUCAUGAUGUAGUCGGAUCUAGAUACUUCAAUUGUAGCCAUUUAUUUAACAUUGAUAUGUCAAAGCUGUCAAGCAGUAGUGGAUGAUUUUGUUUGUGUAAUUCCUGAAAAUACGAAACACAGUAGCAGUAGUAUUAGAUACACAGGACAUCCAUUUGAACAAAAUGACUGAACUGCUGCUGAAGCUUAUGGGAUGAUGGGGGUGGGGGUGUCAGAUAUUACAAAGAAUGAUGGAGAGGGGGAUGUUAUCAGGGAUUAUAUUGGGAGGGGGAUAUUGACAGGGUUGAUGUUGAAGGGGGGUGGUAGAGAUGAUGGUGAGGAUGGGUGGUGGUAGAUAUUACAAAGGAUAAUGGAGGGGGGGAUAUCAGGGAUGAUGUAGGAGGGUGGGGGUGGUAUAUAUUGACAAAUGACAUGUUUUUGGGGGUGGGGUGUAGUUAUCGACAUGGAUGGGGUGAAUUAUUGCCGGGAAGGGAGAAAGAGGAGCUGUGGUUGAACUUUGUUUCCCACAGUUUAGUGUCCGCUGUGACUGGUGUCAUUAAGUGGCAUAGCAAGUCAAUGUGAAGCAGUGUCUGUAUAUCUAUGUUAUGUUUGCUAUUUAUUGAUGAUCUGAUGUUUUUUUUUAAAGACUGUUUAAUGGUGGCCUACAGCUUUCCUUUUCCUUACACUAAUUUUUCCUAAGAUAGCAAGGGUUUAGGAGGAGUGAAGGGGAGGGGGGGGGGGGGGAUUUCAGUGAUGACUGUUACUUUACAUUUGACCGAGGAAUUUCUUUGUAUAGAGUAUCUGUCUACUUUCACUAUUGAUGUGGAUCUUGUUUAUUCUUUUAUUCUAGUCUCGUUGUCUGGGGUAAUUAUUCUAGUCUCGUUGUCUGGAGUAAUUAUUCUAGUCUCGUUGUCUGGGGUAAUUAUUUUAGUCUCGUUGUCUGGAGUAAUUAUUCUAGUCUCGUUGUCUGGGGUAAUUAUUCUAGUCUCGUUGUCUGGGGUAAUUAUUCUAGUCUCGUCUGGGAUAAUUAUUCUAGUCUCGUUGUCUGGAGUAAUUAUUCUAGUCUCGUUGUCUGGGGUAAUUUGCGUAUUGUUUGCUACAGUGUUGAUUAUGUAGCAUCAUGUGACACAUGACCGCAUAUUCUCUCGACCAUACAAUAUUUUUCGAUCAAACUAGUAUUCGUUUACUCUCCUAGAUAAAUCGGUAAAGCCAAAAAUCUGUAUGUUAUGCUGCAUGUGUAUUUUAAAUGAAUUCAAUUAAUUUCGCUGUAAACAAUUUUGAUGCAAAUGCAUGAGUUUAUUGAAUUUGCAAGAAAUUAUUUUUUUGUGAAAUAAAAAUUUCUCCGCUCGUCUUCUAGGAAUUAAGUUCAUAUUCUAAAGUCACAAGAAAGUAAAUCCAAAGUGUUUAAACUUAAUUUUGAUACGCCUGAAUAAAUCUGACACAUUUAAACUUAAUUUUAAUGCUCAUGAAUAAACCCAAAAUAUUUAAGCUCAGUUUUGAUAUGCAUGAAUAAAUCUAAAGUAUUUGAAUUUAAUUUUGAUACACAUGAGUGAUUCCAAAGUAUAAUAACUUUUUUUUUUAAUUAGAAUCCUGAAUACACAAUAUAAUCAUAUUUAUUCUUCAUAAAUGCGGAUGUUUUAGCUGCUCAAGCGAUAUUUGAAAUGUUUUUAUAUAUAUACGUUUUAAUCUAUAUGAACAUAUUCUUUUUAAUAGUUGUUGCUACCAUGUAAAUGUUUAACUUCAACAUGAAUGGAGAAAAAUUUGACUUCAACACAAUUUUCAACCUAAUCACAAGCAAUUUUGUAUUAUACUUAAUAGGACAUUUGAACCCAAGCAGUGUGAUUGCCUGUGACCCCUAUGAACUUUAUGGUUAUUGUGUUAUUUAUUGGGGGUGGGGUGUGUGGAGGGGGAUCUGUGUGUUGAGCUUUUGACUUAAUCCCGGCUAUUAACAGUGCUUCCUAUCUAGUCAGGGACACCUGUCUGGGGUAGGUUAUCGAGUCCUACAAAGUAUGUACCAGAUUUACAGAGUUCUGUACAUCAUUAAGUAUGUACCAGAUUUACAGAGUUCUGUACAUCAUUAAGUAUGUACCAGAUUUACAGAGUUCUGUACAUCAUUGUAUGUACCAGAUUUACAGAGCUCUGUACAUCAUUGCUUAUAUGCAUGUCCUAAUGUCAGUUUCUCCUCCCUGUUUAAAUUCUCUGGUUAUUUUACAUCUAUAAUUCAUGUAUCAAGUACAUAUUUAUCAUUGAUUGAGCAAUAGCUGUUCCUUAUUUUAAAUUGUCUUUUAGAUAUUUGAAAUUUAUGUAUUUGUAACUUUGAUUUUGAUUGGCUGGUGAACUCCAUGUAUUUGUAACCGUGAUUUUGAUUGGCUGGUGAACUCCAUGUAUUUGUAACCUUGAUUUUGAUUGGCUGGUGAACUCCAUGCAUUUGUAGCCCUGAUUCUGAUUGGCUUCUAAGUUUAAGUCUAUCAGUUUCCACUCCCUUUCAUUUGUAAUGUAACAUUUUAGAUUAAAUCAUGCCUGGCACGAAGCCUAUGUAUAAUGACCUCCAUUGUCCAUGCAGUAGUGUAUGCAUAUAUCUUGAUAUGAUUCAAAUCCACAUUCAGUUAUAUUUACCAAAGUAUGAUUUAUUUUGUCCUAGUUACAAAACAACUACUUGAACUGGUCAAUGGUGUGAAUUGAAAUGCCAGCUUGCUUGUUCAUUAAUAAUCACCAGAAUUUUGUCAAAUAUUUUCUUUUUCCAGUAAAGGGCUAUACAGGGAGAUGUUUAUCUGAUAAAUAUUGAAAUAGAAAUCCAUCUUCUUCUUUGAAGAAUUUUAUUUUUGAGUUUAAUUUCCCAAUAAUACAAACAGAUUAUAGACUGUGAUGUCACUCUUGUUGCUAACCAGUGUUUUAAUUCCAGCUCACUCGUUAACUUAUAUAUUUAUCGGAAUAUAUACUUGUAGAUAUACAAUGCUAGUCAAUUCACAAGCAACUCAAGAGUAGUGUGAUAUUGUACUGUGUACAGAGUAAUUUUUCAUGCAUGAUUAAUUCCACGGUUUUACAUGAUAGCUCGUACACGCACGAGUACAUGUAGUUAUAUCCACAUUAUUGAUAUGUUUCACGAAAAAAUACAGAUUCCAAAGAAUAUUUAGAUAUGGGAAAAAGAUCUUUUUACGUACUCCAUAUGAAUUACAUUCAUGCCUUAAUCCCCAUGUUUACAUUAACCUGUCACUUGUUAAACUGUGAAAAGGGGGCGUUAUCCUGACAAUGUGGGUAGGUUCGUGCUCUAACAUUAUUGUAUAAAUACACGAUUAUUAGACCAAGAGGCGUGGAAGUUAAAAGGUGGAGGAAAUAUUUACUAUCAACAAGGGUUUUUGUUUUAAGAUGAAAUGGCUGGGUUUUCUUGUAAUUCAGUUUUGUAAAUAAAAUCCCAUAUGUUCAUCAGGCUCUCAGAUAAUGAAAAGAGCCUGUGUUAUUUAUAUCUGAGUUUUUAAUCUCAGUUUCAUUUGAUAAAAGAUCAUAUAAAGAAACUUUAAGCCUGAGAUAAAGGUCAAUAUCUUGUGGGUUUUUUUAAACUUUGUUUAAUUUAUCAAUGUUAAUAAGUAAAGGGUAGGGUUUGUGGAGUUAAGGAAACUAAUCAUUUUGACCAUGUUUUAUACCGUAUGUAUACCCGUUUUGUACUUUUGAGAUUAUUUUUAUAAUAUGUACAUAAUGGUGACUAAUCGAUUUUACGCAAAGAAAUGCCAAAUGAAUAUUUUUCCAGCAGAAGUUUGAUUAUCGUUUUUAUUUCUAGUUACUGUUUGACGAGUAUUCAAUGUAAAUGGUAUCGAUUAUCAAAAUUUGAAAGUGAAGAGUUUCUUAAAUAAAAUUUCAAGUGUGUUUAGAGAUGAGUGAUUUUUUCAAGUAAUAUUUUGUCUUUAUGCCAAAAAACCGUUGAGAAUUAAUUGAAUAUAGGACUGUUAGUCCUUGUUGUUUGAAAACAGAAACUGUUAUGUUCAUUCGCUAGUAGCAAACUUUUGACAGCAGACUGUAGGCGUCUUUUGGCAGUGUCAUUUGAGAUGACCUGUAGCAUGCUUGUUAUCAUAUAUAUAGAUUACAUAAUGUCUAUAAAUAGUUACAAUGUAUAUUUUACUUGUUAUUAACACUAAGAAGUUACCAUGUUUAUAUUUGUCAAAUGAAAAAGUCUUUCCUAGAGUGUGUAAUGACCUAAUUCAGAUGAUAAUAAAUGUAUUUUAUAAGAAUAACUAA